UGUUUGAUACAGCAUGUUCCAGUGGAGCUGACAGUAUGCAUGUCGCAGGAGUUGUUCUGGCAGUCACUGGCGUUCUCACGCUUUUGUUCUCGGUUGAUAUCCUGCUAUAUUUCACACGAAAUGGAAGACUAUGUCAUAGAAAAAGUCAGCUUCCAAAACAGAAGGAAUGCCAGGAUAUGCAACUUUCGGAUCGAGGU